rnacentral:rRNA from 1 species
GAUGAACGCUGGCGGCGUGCCUAAUACAUGCAAGUCGAGCGAACGGACUAGAAGCUUGCUUCUCUGAUGUUAGCGGCGGACGGGUGAGUAACACGUGGAUAACCUACCUAUAAGACUGGGAUAACUUCGGGAAACCGUAGCUAAUACCGGAUAAUAUUUUGAACCGCAUGGUUCAAAAGUGAAAGACGGUCUUGCUGUCACUUAUAGAUGGAUCCGCGCUGCAUUAGCUAGUUGGUAAGGUAACGGCUUACCAAGGCAACGAUGCAUAGCCGACCUGAGAGGGGGAUCGGCCACACUGGAGCUGAGACACGGCCCAGACACCUAGGGGAGGCAGCAGUAGGGAAUCUACCGCAAUGGGCGAAAGCCUGACGGAGCAACGCCGCGUGAGUGAUGAAGGUCUUCGGAUCGUAAAACUCUGUUAUUAGGGAAGAACAUAUGUGUAAGUAACUGUGCACAUCUUGACGGUACCUAAACAGAAAGCCACGGCUAACUACGU